GAUGAACGCUGGCGGCGUGCCUAAUACAUGCAAGUCGAGCGAACAGAUAAGGAGCUUGCUCCUUUGAAGUUAGCGGCGGACGGGUGAGUAACACGUGGGUAACCUACCUAUAAGACUGGGAUAACUUCGGGAAACCGGAGCUAAUACCGGAUAACAUUUAGAACCGCAUGGCUCUAAAGUGAAAGAUGGUUUUGCUAUCACUUAUAGAUGGACCCGCGCCGUAUUAGCUAGUUGGUAAGGUAACGGCUUACCAAGGCGACGAUACGUAGCCGACCUGAGAGGGUGAUCGGCCACACUGGAACUGAGACACGGUCCAGACUCCUACGGGAGGCAGCAGUAGGGAAUCUUCCGCAAUGGGCGAAAGCCUGACGGAGCAACGCCGCGUGAGUGAUGAAGGGUUUCGGCUCGUAAAACUCUGUUAUUAGGGAAGAACAAAUGUGUAAGUAACUGUGCACAUCUUGACGGUACCUAAUCAGAAAGCCACGGCUAACUACGUGCCAGCAGCCGCGGUAAUACGUAGGUGGCAAGCGUUAUCCGGAAUUAUUGGGCGUAAAGCGCGCGUAGGCGGUUUCUUAAGUCUGAUGUGAAAGCCCACGGCUCAACCGUGGAGGGUCAUUGGAAACUGGGAAACUUGAGUGCAGAAGAGGAAAGUGGAAUUCCAUGUGUAGCGGUGAAAUGCGCAGAGAUAUGGAGGAACACCAGUGGCGAAGGCGACUUUCUGGUCUGUAACUGACGCUGAUGUGCGAAAGCGUGGGGAUCAAACAGGAUUAGAUACCCUGGUAGUCCACGCCGUAAACGAUGAGUGCUAAGUGUUAGGGGGUUUCCGCCCCUUAGUGCUGCAGCUAACGCAUUAAGCACUCCGCCUGGGGAGUACGACCGCAAGGUUGAAACUCAAAGGAAUUGACGGGGACCCGCACAAGCGGUGGAGCAUGUGGUUUAAUUCGAAGCAACGCGAAGAACCUUACCAAAUCUUGACAUCCUUUGAAAACUCUAGAGAUAGAGCCUUCCCCUUCGGGGGACAAAGUGACAGGUGGUGCAUGGUUGUCGUCAGCUCGUGUCGUGAGAUGUUGGGUUAAGUCCCGCAACGAGCGCAACCCUUAAGCUUAGUUGCCAUCAUUAAGUUGGGCACUCUAGGUUGACUGCCGGUGACAAACCGGAGGAAGGUGGGGAUGACGUCAAAUCAUCAUGCCCCUUAUGAUUUGGGCUACACACGUGCUACAAUGGACAAUACAAAGGGCAGCUAAACCGCGAGGUCAUGCAAAUCCCAUAAAGUUGUUCUCAGUUCGGAUUGUAGUCUGCAACUCGACUACAUGAAGCUGGAAUCGCUAGUAAUCGUAGAUCAGCAUGCUACGGUGAAUACGUUCCCGGGUCU
rnacentral:rRNA from 1 species